CUUAGCUCAGUUGGUCAGAGCAACCGGCUCAUAACCGGUUGGUCCUAGGUUCGAAUCCUAG
rnacentral:tRNA from 2 species